AACAAAAACCUGAUUUACUUACUUACAUUAGUCUAGGGCUCUAGACAGCAAUGCAGUUGAAGAGAGGUCUGACCUUGUGAAGACACAGUCAAGGGUUAGUGGAAGGAACACUGGAGCCGGAGAGAGAUGUGAUCUCAUAAUGGCUGUGUAAGUUGGCUAUGUGACCUGGAACUAUUUCUUGGGGCCUGGGUCUUCAUUUUGCAAAUCAUAAUCCCUGCCUCCUAUGCUGUGUGUCUGGUGAGGUGAGGGGAAGCUGACCCUUAAACAACACUGGUUCGAACUGCAUGAGUCCACUUAUAUGUAGAUUUUCUUCAAUCUCUGCAACCCAAGACAGCAAACCCUCCACUUCCUCCUCACCUUAUUCAAUGUGAAGAUGACCAGGAUGAAGAUGUUUAUGAUGAUCUACUUCCAUUCAAUACAUAGAAAAGAAGCUACCUCUAAUGCAUGUUUCAUGGACCUCCUACCAGAAAACAACAGUGCUCUCCAGUUCAAGAUACAAGGCUUUAGAGUAAUGUCACAUUCAGGGAUUUUUAAUUCAUAGAUACCCUAUCUAAAGUUACAACAGAGUAUUACUGACUUGGCUGCAUCUUUAAAAAACUAUUUAGAAAUACUUAUAUUGAAACUUACAUCCUUAAUUUUUGAUAAAGGCUUUUGUGACAGA